GAUGAACCGCACAAGACGUGCCUAACACAUGCAAAUCGAAUGAAAAGAAUUAAUUAUUGUUUUCUGGUGAACGGGUGAGUAACACAUAAGAAUCAGCUUUUAGAUAAGGCAUAAAAGAGUAAUAUCUUGGUAAUUCCUUAUAUGCGCAGCAGUGCUUAAAAAGGGGAGUCCCGUCUAAAAACGAGCUUAUGCCUGAUUAGCUAGUUGGCGAGUUAAAAGCUCACCAAGGCGAAGAUCAGUAGCUGGCCUGAGAGGGCGGCCAGCCACAUUGGGACUGAGACACGGCCCAAACUCCUACGGGAGGCAGCAGUGGGGAAUCUUCUGCAAUGGGCGCAAGCCUGACAGAGCGGCGUCGUGUGAAGGAAGAAGGCCUGAAAUAGGUUGUAAACUUCUUUUACUGAAUAAUGAAUAAUGACAACGCAGUAAAAAAGUAUCGGCUAACUCCGUGCCAGCAGCCGCGGUAAUACGGGGGAUGCAAGCGUUAUCCGGAAUCACUGGGCGUAAAGCGUCUGUAGGUGGUUUAGUGUGUUCUUAGUUAAAUUCUGAAGCCUAACUUCAUGAAAAGUAAGAAAACUAUUAGACUUGAGUACGAUAGGGGUAAGAGGAAUUCUUCGAGAAGUAGUGAAAUGCGAAGAUACGAAGGAGAAGAUCAUAAGCGAAGGCUUCUUACUGGGUCGUAACUGACACUGAGAGACGAAAGCUAGGGGAGCGAAUGGGAUUAGAUACCCCAGUAGUCCUAGCUGUAAACGAUGGAUAUUCGGUGCCGGAAAUUUUUUAGAACUUUUCGGUCCCUAGCU
rnacentral:rRNA from 1 species